CUGUGCUUCCCUUGCCCAAGCCGAGAGUGGCCUGUUCCCAGGGGGCAGGCUUCCUCCUUGGUUGGCAGCCAGGAGUCUGGAGCGCAGGUGCCGGGCAGGCAGCACUGGGAGCGCUCGGCGACUUAGCUGGAGGCCUAAGGAGCCACCCCUCACGGACCAGAGCGCCUUUGCAAGGAAUACAGUCCACCAUUAAGACGGUGACUCAUGUACUUGGACCAAACAUAAAGAAGGUCUUGACUUUCAUACCUGGAGCCAGAAAAUGUAUGGAAUUUUGAAUCUCAUUUCUGGACCUGCUUGCAGGCGUGAUUGUGACAUAUACCUUGGUCCAGCACCUGAGUGAUUUGACUAUCCUGCCUGGGUAAAGCCUCAAAAUGGAAUUGUGACACAUGCCUGGUGCAAGCAUCUAAGGUAUUUUACUCUCCUGCGUAGACCCUGUCCUCAGGGAGAAUUGUGACAUCCUGCUGGACCCAUCGCCUAGGUUAUAUAUUCUCUCCUGCCUGGGCCCUUUACACAGGGUGGAUUGUGACAUAUUGCUGUGUCCUGCAUGCAGAUAAUGUGACUUUCCUGCCUGAACCCUGCCCACAGAAGGCACUGUGAAAUACUCCUGGGCCCAGUACCCAGGUUAUGUGACUUUACUGCCACAGCCCUGCCCACAGAGUGGACAUUGACGUAUUUUUGGUCCAGCAUUCAGGUGAUCUGAAUCUCUUGCCUGCUCCAUUCACACAGCUUAAAUUUAGACAUAUGUAUUUUCAAGCUCUUAGACAUUAUAGUCAAGCUUAUAUGGGAACCCAG
rnacentral:lncRNA from 1 species